GACGAACGCUGGCGGCGUGCUUAACACAUGCAAGUCGAACGAUGAUGCUGGAGCUUGCUCCAGUUGAUUAGUGGCGAACGGGUGAGUAACCCGUGAGCAAUCUGCCCUUGACUCUGGAAUAACUGCGGGAAACUGUAGCUAAUACCGGAAACUUUCACCGGAAGGCAUCUUAUGGUGAUGAAAGAAUUUCGGUCAGGGAUGAGCUCGCGGCCUAUCAGCUUGUUGGUGAGGUAACGGCUCACCAAGGCGACGACGGGUAGCCGGCCUGAGAGGGUGACCGGCCACACUGGGACUGAGACACGGCCCAGACUCCUACGGGAGGCAGCAGUGGGGAAUAUUGCACAAUGGGCGCAAGCCUGAUGCAGCAACGCCGCGUGAGGGAUGAAGGCCUUCGGGUUGUAAACCUCUUUUAGCAGGGAAGAAGCGAAAGUGACGGUACCUGCAGAAAAAGCACCGGCUAACUACGUGCCAGCCGCCGCCGUAA
rnacentral:rRNA from 1 species